CUGCAUGUGCUUACUUUUCUUUUCUUUUCUUUUCAUGAUUGGGUAUGCUCCAGGAAGCAAAGGAUACAGAAUCCUGAACCUGUCUUCAGGUUCAGGAUUCUGUAUCCUUUGCUUCCU